GGGGAAUAUUGGACAAUGGGCGAAAGCCUGAUCCAGCCAUGCCGCGUGUGUGAAGAAGGUCUUCGGAUUGUAAAGCACUUUAAGUUGGGAGGAAGGGCUGCAAGUUAAUACCUUGUAGUUUUGACGUUACCAACAGAAUAAGCACCGGCUAACUUCGUGCCAGCAGCCGCGGUAAUACGAAGGGUGCAAGCGUUAAUCGGAAUUACUGGGCGUAAAGCGCGCGUAGGUGGUUUGGUAAGAUGGAUGUGAAAUCCCCGGGCUCAACCUGGGAACUGCAUUCGAAACUGGCAGGCUAGAGUCUUGUAGAGGGGGGUAGAAUUCCAGGUGUAGCGGUGAAAUGCGUAGAGAUCUGGAGGAAUACCGGUGGCGAAGGCGGCCCCCUGGACUGAUACUGACACUGAGGUGCGAAAGCGUGGGGAGCAAACA
rnacentral:rRNA from 1 species